AAUAUUUAAUCUGGCAAGAAGCAGUUACAACAUGCCAUGACAGAUAGUAAGUGCAAGGAUGGGUUUUGUGAAUGGUCCUUUUACCCAUAGAUCUUUUCAAUGAGCAGGCUGGCUUCCCUUUUCUCUUUUCCUAUAAAUAGGUGCUUUCGGCCUGCAUCAUAGAUAUAACACAAGCUCCACCGGUGCUCCGAGCCCAACUCACUUCUGCUUCUGUUUCUUCUUCUCAUGAGCCUUGUCUUAUAUUAUUCUUGUAGUGAUGUUGUAGCAAAUAACAUUAAGAAAGAGAUAGAUAGAUAGAUAGGAGGCGCGUUGGGUGGGAGGUUGUUGACAGAAGAUAGAGAGCACAGAUGAUGACAUGCAUAUAUGGAAUUGCAUCGCACUCCUUUGUGCUCUCUAUGCUUCUGUCAUCACCUUCAGCCUCCGAUCGCUAUCUCCCUCUUUCUAAUUCCAACUCUCCUUCAUAUAACAAUCAUAUAUAUUCAUCAGACUUUCUGAUGAUUCCCUACUGGCAUGAUGAGAUGAUCACUAGUUAGCCUGCUUAUUGCUCUCUUGUCAGUUUCAUUCAACUUUACUCCACUUGGAUGUUAUUAGUCAUUAGCUUCUUCGUUCCUUGUAGAAUAUAUCAGAUGAUUACAACCCGAUCGGCAUGUAUAUAUAGUGGCCAUUAACUUGUGUGUUUUGCAGUUAGCGUGCACCUGUAUUCAGUGACUGGUUGGAGUCUUGGAGAUGACGAAUCUGUCGGCUAGGGGUUUGUAACUUUGUAUGGGAAGCAGCAGAACUUGGUGUGGUGAAGAAUGGAAGGACGGUGUAGCAGAAGAUAGAAGGAAAGCAGAAAAAUGGGGUGUCCAAGCGCAAGUACUGAUGGUGACAUAUUGCAGUGGCAGGGCAUAUAAUUUUUCCAAGUCAGUACCCCACUCUAUUGUUCAUUCAUUUCUAUUGCAGUCAAUCAGCGUACGGUCUGUAAAGGGCCACAUUUCUUAGUGGACACUAGAUGUCAAUAUGCUAUCCGCUCCUCUCAACCAAAGUCGACCACCACUAUUCAUCAACAAGACCAACCUCGUUCGUCUUUUUGUUCUCUUUUCACGAACCCCAAACAGUGCUGGAGCCUCCCUACAUGUCAACCAGACAAUUAUGAAGGAAUUAUUUUGUAAUCUGAAAAUGUGAACUACGUACUAAACCGUUUGACUAUGUAUAAUGUUCCCAUCA